rnacentral:misc_RNA from 1 species
AGCAGCCGCGGUAAUUCCAGCUCCAAUAGCGUAUAUUAAAGUUGUUGCAGUUAAAAAGCUCGUAGUUGAAUUUCGGGGUUAGCAGGUCGGUCGUGCCAUCGGUAUGAACUGGUCUCGCUGAUCCCUCCCUCUUGACGAACUGUGAUGCCAUUAAUUUGGUGUCGCAGGGAAUCAGGACUGUUACUUUGAAAAAAUUGAGUGUUUAAAGCAGGCUCACGCUUGAAUACAUUAGCAUGGAAUAAUGAAAUAGGACGUUUGAUCCUAUUUUGUUGGCUUCUAGGAUUGACGUAAUGAUUAAUAGGGAUAGUUGGGGGCAUUAGUAUUCAAUUGUCAGAGGUGAAAUUCUUGGAUUUAUUGAAGACUAACUACUGCGAAAGCAUUUUGCCAAGGAUGUUUUCAUUAAUCAAGAACGAAAGUUAGGGGAUCGAAGACGAUCAGAUACCGUCGUAGUCUUAACCAUAAACUAUGCCGACUAGGGAUCGGAUGAUGUUAAUUUUUUAAUGUACUCUACG